rnacentral:tRNA from 1 species
GGGAAGGUAGCUCAGUGGUAGAGUGCUUGUCUUGCAUGCAUGAGGCCCUGGGUUCGAUUCCUCAGCCCCA